UAGUCAUUUUUGGCAGCUCAUAUACUAAAAUUGAAAUGAUGCAGAGAAAUUUAGUAUGGUCCCUGAGCAAGGAUUAUGUGCGAAUUUAAGGACAUGAAAUCUCAAUAG
ensembl:snRNA U6 U6 spliceosomal RNA